GACGAACCGUGCGAACGUUGUUCGGAAUCACUGGGCUUAAAGGGCGCGUAGGCGGGCUGGAAAGUCAGGGGUGAAAUCCCACGGCUCAACCGUGGAAGGGCCUUUGAUACUGCCAGUCUAGAGGGAGGUAGGGGCGUGCGGAACUUCCGGUGGAGCGGUGAAAUGCGUAGAUAUCGGAAGGAACACCGGUGGCGAAAGCGGCGCGCUGGACCUCAACUGACGCUGAGGCGCGAAAGCCAGGGGAGCAAACGGG
rnacentral:rRNA from 1 species